GAAGUUGAGUUGGAUGCUCAACCCAACUGAGCCACCCAGGCACCCCAUGAAACCCAACUCCGCACAUCUGAGACCAUGAUCUACUCUGGCUGCAGCUCCUGCUGCCAGCCUUUGUGCUACAGGACCACCUUCUGUUGGACCAGUGGCUGCAGACAAACUGUUGCGGGGCCAGCUGCAGUGGACAAACCCACAGUGGGGCCAGCUGCCAUGGAGCCAGCUUCUGCCAGCCUUGUUGCCACCCAACCUGCUGCAACACCACCUUCUAUAGGACCUCCUGCUGUCACAUAUGCUGUGUGUCCAAACCUACUGCCAGCCUUCCUGCUGCUAAUUGCUUUGCCAAGAGGCACCAUCUGCAUAAAACACCAAUUUGUCAUUUGGGAAACAAAGUCACUGCCAAUAUUGCUGAAAGCCUGCUCACAGUCAACAACAUUACAGGCUUGUGAAUCACCUUGAGGAAGUGUGGACCAUUUCUAGCUGAGUCUCAUCUUCCUUCAUCUUUGGAUCAUGUGCCAGCUUCAUGCAUACUGAUAUGGAGUCAUGACCUCUGCCUUGACUCCACAGCCAAGAUUGUCACCCUCUCCCUUUCAAUAACAUAGAGAAAGAAAUUCUAGUGACUCACACAUAGGUGUCUACAACUACUCAAAAUCUUCAAAUCAUGUUUCCUUUUUCAGUGUACUCAUGGUUCUUAUAUCCUUCUUUCUUCUUCUCAUGAUCCAUGUAAAUGUCUCCUGAGACACAGGGAGUCUCACCUUUAUUUCUCAAUAAAGCCUGUACCAUUCACAUCCCA